rnacentral:rRNA from 1 species
UACGGAGGGGGCUAGCGUUGUUCGGAAUUACUGGGCGUAAAGCGCACGUAGGCGGUUUUGUAAGUUAGAGGUGAAAGCCCAGGGCUUAACCCUGGAAUUGCCUUUAAGACUGCAUCGCUAGAAUCGUGGAGAGGUGAGUGGAAUUCCAAGUGUAGAGGUGAAAUUCGUAGAUAUUCGGAAGAACACCAGUGGCGAAGGCGACUCACUGGACACGUAUUGACGCUGAGGUGCGAAAGCGUGGGGAGCAAACAGG